rnacentral:rRNA from 1 species
GGCUUAGAAGCAGCCAUCAUUUAAAGAAAGCGUAAUAGCUCACUGGUCGAGUCGGCCUGCGCGGAAGAUGUAACGGGGCUAAACCAUGCACCGAAGCUGCGGCAGCGACACUGUGUGUUGUUGGGUAGGGGAGCGUUCUGUAAGCCUGUGAAGGUGUGUCGUGAGGCAUGCUGGAGGUAUCAGAAGUGCGAAUGCUGACAUAAGUAACGAUAAAGCGGGUGAAAAGCCCGCUCGCCGGAAGACCAAGGGUUCCUGUCCAACGUUAAUCGGGGCAGGGUGAGUCGACCCCUAAGGCGAGGCCGAAAGGCGUAGUCGAUGGGAAACGGGUUAAUAUUCCCGUACUUGGUGUUACUGCGAAGGGGGGACGGAGAAGGCUAUGUUGGCCGGGCGACGGUUGUCCCGGUUUAAGCGUGUAGGUGUGUGUUCCAGGUAAAUCCGGUUCACUUUAACACUGAGGCGUGACGACGAGGCACUACGGUGCUGAAGCAACAAAUGCCCUGCUUCCAGGAAAAGCCUCUAAGCAUCAGGUAACAUCAAAUCGUACCCCAAACCGACACAGGUGGUCAGGUAGAGAAUACCAAGGCGCUUGAGAGAACUCGGGUGAAGGAACUAGGCAAAAUGGUGCCGUAACUUCGGGAGAAGGCACGCUGACACGUAGGUGAAGUGAUUUACUCAUGGAGCUGAAGUCAGUCGAAGAUACCAGCUGGCUGCAACUGUUUAUUAAAAACACAGCACUGUGCAAACACGAAAGUGGACGUAUACGGUGUGACGCCUGCCCGGUGCCGGAAGGUUAAUUGAUGGGGUCAGCGCAAGCGAAGCUCCUGAUCGAAGCCCCGGUAAACGGCGGCCGUAACUAUAACGGUCCUAAGGUAGCGAAAUUCCUUGUCGGGUAAGUUCCGACCUGCACGAAUGGCGUAAUGAUGGCCAGGCUGUCUCCACCCGAGACUCAGUGAAAUUGAACUCGCUGUGAAGAUGCAGUGUACCCGCGGCAAGACGGAAAGACCCCGUGAACCUUUACUAUAGCUUGACACUGAACAUUGAGCCUUGAUGUGUAGGAUAGGUGGGAGGCUUUGAAGUGUGGACGCCAGUCUGCAUGGAGCCGACCUUGAAAUACCACCCUUUAAUGUUUGAUGUUCUAACGUGGACCCGUUACCCGGGUUGCGGACAGUGUCUGGUGGGUAGUUUGACUGGGGCGGUCUCCUCCUAAAGAGUAACGGAGGAGCACGAAGGUUGGCUAAUCCUGGUCGGACAUCAGGAGGUUAGUGCAAUGGCAUAAGCCAGCUUGACUGCGAGCGUGACGGCGCGAGCAGGUGCGAAAGCAGGUCAUAGUGAUCCGGUGGUUCUGAAUGGAAGGGCCAUCGCUCAACGGAUAAAAGGUACUCCGGGGAUAACAGGCUGAUACCGCCCAAGAGUUCAUAUCGACGGCGGUGUUUGGCACCUCGAUGUCGGCUCAUCACAUCCUGGGGCUGAAGUAGGUCCCAAGGGUAUGGCUGUUCGCCAUUUAAAGUGGUACGCGAGCUGGGUUUAGAACGUCGUGAGACAGUUCGGUCCCUAUCUGCCGUGGGCGCUGGAGAACUGAGGGGGGCUGCUCCUAGUACGAGAGGACCGGAGUGGACGCAUCACUGGUGUUCGGGUUGUCAUGCCAAUGGCACUGCCCGGUAGCUAAAUGCGGAAGAGAUAAGUGCUGAAAGCAUCUAAGCACGAAACUUGCCCCGAG